UUCUAAUUUUCAGCUGGCAGAAUUCCCAGAGAUUCUCUCACCUCUCUGAUUUUUUCCUCAUUCGGUUGAGCAUAGGAUAUAUUUCACUGUCUAUAUAAGACCUCAUAUCCUCUCAUUUUACUCUCUUCAAUUUCAAGAACACACACACAUACGAAAUAAACUGGAGAUUUUCAAAUAUCUUCAUUCUUCUUCACUCUCAUUUUGAGAGAAGGUUAUGGAAUUCCAGCCCAAAAAGGUUCAAGGUUUUAUUUUUAGUUCAAAUCUUCUGCUACAAAUCUGGGUUUGUAGCUGUUGAAGUUAGAGAAGAGUCACUAUCUUGUUGCUGUAUUGAUUGUGCUGGGUUAAGCUGUAGAUUUGAAGUUCUGAUCUCUCUUAGUUCUUUCUUGUUGUUGUUUCCCUGUUUUAAAGAUGUGUUAAUCCUCUUUUACUCAAAUUAUAAAAAGAGAUUGGUUUGUCUAUGGCAUACCAUUGCAAUGUUCUUAGUAAUUCCAUUUUUAGCAUGUUUAAAGUCUUAAAUUGGUGUGGCUUCAUGUUUUUGUCAAUCUGGGCAUUGUUUGAGAUGUUAAGGUGAUGGAAAUAGUAUGUUGAUGUUCAGUAGUUGAUAUACAUGCUAUUUGGAUGUCAUGAUUGUCGUUUCCUUUUCUUUUCUUUUUUCCAGAAGUGUUGUUAUUAGUAGUUGAUGUUAGUAUUACCUUUUGGUUCAAAAUAAGGUUGAGAUUGUUGUUUUAGAUCAGAUUUUGCAGAAGUUUAGCAAAAACUCCACUAUCAUGUUCUGUGUGGAUUUGUGUUAAUCUUGAAAUAUAAAGAGUUAUCUCUACUGAUCAUACGACUGUAGUCUGAAAAUCUGACCACUAAUUGAUCAGAUUAGGAGGCUCUAAAGCUAAAGAGUAUACUCAGCGCCACUGUUCAAAAGAAGUUUAAAUUGAGUACUAAUCAUACCCUAUUUUGUUUCAACUGUUAUUAUUAAUGACCUCUAUAUCCAUUAGGAAGCAUUCAUUGGUGAGAAUUGUAAUUGAAAUUGCCAGAAUUGUAAAUGCCAGUCUGUUGAUAGUUUUCUUUUGAAAUUCGAAUGUUAACAUUUUUUUAAUGGUAUUUGCUGUGUUGGAUUCUUGUUGCGCAUGAAAAUUUGUAUCUACGUAGGUGUGCUAGUUUAUUCUUAAAAGUGGCUGCUUUUGUAAUAAUUUGUAAUUAAGGUCAUGACCCUUUCUUGUUGAGUCAUACGAAAUUGGGCUUCAACCCAUAUUGAACUUAUACAUGACUUCAUGUCUUCCUGAAAUUUAAACAUGCAUGAAAUGAUCCUCCCUCCUUCUAAUGUUCCACUAAUUAAUUGCUUUUGUUUUUUUUUUCUUCUUUUAAGUUGUAUGUAUUUCAACCAAAAUAUGAAGUCUUGAAAAUUGUUUGAACUUUGGUAUUUUGUUUGUCACGAUCCAAGUUUUUCCUCUGUGUGUUGUCUUGUAGUAGUAAAAAUAAAAUUGCGCAUGAAAAUUUGUAUCUACGUAGGUGUGCUAGUUUAUUCUUAAAAGUGGCUGCUUUUGUAAUAAUUUGUAAUUAAGGUCAUGACCCUUUCUUGUUGAGUCAUACGAAAUUGGGCUUCAACCCAUAUUGAACUUAUA
rnacentral:lncRNA from 1 species